rnacentral:rRNA from 1 species
GAUGAACGCUGGCGGCGUGCCUAAUACAUGCAAGUCGAACGAAGCGUGGACGGGUGAGUAACAUGUGGAUAACCUCCUAUAAGACUGGGUUAAACUAGUGAAACCGGAGCAAAACCGGCUACUUAGAGCUGGAUGGGUGCUGCAUUAGCUAGUUGGUAAGGUAACGGCUCAACAAGGCAACGAUGCAUAGCCGACCUGAGAGGGUGAUCGGCCACACGGGAACUGAGACACGGUCCAGACUCCUACGGGAGGCAGCAGUAGGGAAUCUUCCGCAAUGGGCGAAAGCCUGAUGGAGCCAUGCCGCGUGAGUGAUGAAGGCCUUCGGAUCGUAAAGUUCUGUUAUUAGGGAAGCGGUACCUGCUCAGGAAGCCACGGCUAACUACGUGCCAGCAGCCGCGGUAAUUC